GUCCAUCCUUAAGUUUACAAGAG
rnacentral:siRNA from 1 species